rnacentral:rRNA from 1 species
AUAGCUUUAGGGCUAGCCUCAAGGUGAGAGAUACGGAGGUAGAGCACUGAAUGUCCUAGGGGGUAUUGCACCUACCGAAGACUAUCAAACUCCGAAUGCCGUCAUCUUAUACUUGGGAGUCAGACUGUGGGUGAUAAGAUUCAUAGUCGAAAGGGCAACAGCCCAGAUCGUCAGCUAAGGUCCCUAAAUGUAAGUUAAGUGGUAAAGGAUGUGGGAUUGCACAGACAACCAGGAUGUUGGCUUAGAAGCAGCCACUCAUUCAAAGAGUGCGUAAUAGCUCACUGGUCGAGUGAUCCUGCGCCGAAGAUUUCCGGGGCUAAAACUUACUACCGAAGCUACGGCAUCAGUAAUGAUGGGUAGGGGGGCUUCCCAUACGGGUUGAAGCAUGACCGUAAGGACAUGUGGACAGUAUGGGAGUGAGAAUGUUGGCAUGAGUAGCGAGAUGUGGGUGAGAAUCCCACAGGCCGUAAACCCAAGGUUUCCAGGGGAAG